rnacentral:rRNA from 1 species
UACGUAGGGGGCAAGCGUUGUCCGGAUUUAUUGGGCGUAAAGAGCGUGUAGGCGGUUUUACAGGUCCGCUGUGAAAACUCGAGGCUCAACCUCGAGCUGUCGGUGGAAACCGUAAGGCUAGAGUCCGGAAGAGGAGAGUGGAAUUCCUGGUGUAGCGGUGGAAUGCGCAGAUAUCAGGAGGAACACCAAUAGGCGAAGGC